rnacentral:lncRNA from 1 species
AGCGAGCAAGGAAGGAGAAAAGAGAAAGGAGGUUCCAAAAGCAUUCGGGGCUGCCCAAAUGGGGUCUCCACCCCAUUUACGGGGUCUCCACCCCGUUCUGAAGAAGAAAAAUCUGCCAAGAUGGGGUCUCCACCCCACUGAUGGGGUCUCCACCCCACUUCAGCAGAAUAGAGGCUGCCAAGACAGGGUCUCCACCCCACUGACGGGGUCUCCACCCCACUGACGGGGUCUCCACCCCAUUGAUGGGGUCUCCACCCCAUUCUGAUGGGAGAAAAAGCCCAAAUUGCCUAUUCUUGAUCCGUUUGAAGGCCCGAUCGCUGUGGGACUUAAAUCAAAGCUCAAGGGAGAAGUCUAAUAACCUAG